rnacentral:rRNA from 1 species
GCUUACACUUUUGUGUAAGCUGUUCUCGAGCCUAAAAAGCUCGAGAAGUAAGGGCCGGGUAAGACGGGUGCCAGCCGCCGCGGUAAUACCCGCGGCCCGAGUGGUGCUCAUUAUUAUUGAGCCUAAAGCGUCCGUAGCUGGCCGGGCAAAUCUCCGGGUAAAUCGGGCCGCUCAACGGUCCGAAUUCCGGAGACACUGCUCGGCUUGGGAUCGGGAGAGGGUGAAGGUACUCCCGGGGUAGGGGUAAAAUCCUGUAAUCCUGGGGGGACCACCAGUGGCGAAGGCGUUCACCUAGAACGAAUCCGACAGUGAGGGACGAAGCCCUAGGGCGCAAACGGGAUUAGAUACCCCGGUAGUCUAGGGUGUAAACGCUGCAGACUUGGUGUUGGGGGUCCUGCGUGGGCUGCCAGUGCCGGAGCGAAGGUGUUGAGUCUGCCGCUUGGGGAGUACGGUCGCAAGACUGAAACUUAAAGGAAUUGGCGGGAGAGCACCGCAACGGGAGGAGCGUGCGGUUCAAUUGGAUUCAACGCCGGAAAACUCACCGGAGGCGACGGAGGGAUGAAAGCCAGGCUGAAGACCUUGCCCGAUUCUCCGAGAGGUGGUGCAUGGCCGUCGUCAGUUCGUACCGUAAGGCGUUCUGUUAAGUCAGAUAACGAACGAGACCCUCGCCGUUAGUCGCGAUCUUACAAGCGAUUGUAGGAGCACACUAGCGGGAUCGCUGCCGUUAAGGCAGAGGAAGGAGAGGUCUACGGUAGGUCCGUAUGCCCCGAAUCUUCCGGGCAACACGCGCGCUACAAAGGUGGGGACAAUGGGACCCGACCUCGAAAGGGGGAGGCAAUCCUGAAACCCCAUCGUAGUCUGGAUCGAGGGCUGUAACUCGCCCUCGUGAAAAUGGAUUCCGUAGUAAUCGCGGGUCAACAUCCCGCGGUGAAUGUGCCCCUGCUCUUUGCACACACCGCCCGUCAACUCAUCCGAGUUGGGUCGGAGUGAGGGUGCCUCAUCCGGGGCGCUCGAACUUCGGUUCAGCAAGGGGGAGUAAGUCGUAACAAGGUAUCUGUAGGGGAACCUGCAGAUGGAUCACCUCCU